UAGGGAAUCUUCGGCAAUGGACGAAAGUCUGACCGAGCAACGCCGCGUGAGUGAAGAAGGUUUUCGGAUCGUAAAACUCUGUUGUUAGAGAAGAACAAGGAUGAGAGUAACUGUUCAUCCCUUGACGGUAUCUAACCAGAAAGCCACGGCUAACUACGUGCCAGCAGCCGCGGUAAUACGUAGGUGGCAAGCGUUGUCCGGAUUUAUUGGGCGUAAAGCGAGCGCAGGCGGUUUCUUAAGUCUGAUGUGAAAGCCCCCGGCUCAACCGGGGAGGGUCAUUGGAAACUGGGAGACUUGAGUGCAGAAGAGGAGAGUGGAAUUCCAUGUGUAGCGGUGAAAUGCGUAGAUAUAUGGAGGAACACCAGUGGCGAAGGCGGCUCUCUGGUCUGUAACUGACGCUGAGGCUCGAAAGCGUGGGGAGCAAACAGGAUUAGAUACCCUGGUA
rnacentral:rRNA from 1 species